GACGUAGGGGGCCAGCGUUGCUCGGAAUUACUGGGCGUAAAGGGUUCGUAGGCGGUGUGGCAAGUCGGGAGUGAAAUCUCUGGGCUUAACUCAGAGGCUGCUUCCGAAACUGCCGUGCUAGAGUGCGGGAGAGGCGAGUGGAAUUGCAGGUGUAGCGGUGAAAUGCGUAGAUAUCUGCAGGAACACCAAUAGCGAAGGCAGCUCGCUGGGACGUUACUGACACUGAGGCGCGAAAGCGUGGGGAGCGAACAGG
rnacentral:rRNA from 1 species